rnacentral:rRNA from 1 species
AUUGAACGCUGGCGGCAGGCCUAACACAUGCAAGUCGAGCGAGCGGCGGACGGGUGAGUAAUGUAUGGGGACUGCCCGAUAGAGGGGGAUAACUACUGGAAACGGUGGAUAAUACCGCAUACUAUCGGAUAACCCAUAUGGGAUUAGCUAGUAGGUGGGGUAAAGGCUCACCGAGGCGAAGAGCUCUAGCUGGUCUGAGAGGAUGAGCAGCCACACUGGGACGGAGACACGGCCCAGACUAGUACGGAGGGAGCAGUGGGGAAUAUUGCACAAUGGGCGAAAGCCGGAGACAGCCAUGCCGCGUGUAUGAAGAAGGCCUUAGGGUUGUAAAGUACUGUCAGUGGGGAGGCGUUACCCGCAGAAGAAGCACCGGCUAACUCCGUGCCAGCAGCCGCGGUAAUAC